GAUCUGGCGGGGGAGAGGGAGGUGAGGGAGUUCUUCUCCUUCUCCGGCGACAUUGAUCAGCUUGAGAUGCAACAGGUGGCGGGGGAGAAGAAGACGGCGUUUGUUACGUUUAAAGAUCCGAAGGCUCUGGAGAUUGCAUUGUUGUUAUCGGGAGCUACGAUAGUGGACCAGACAGUGAGCAUAUAUCCUGUUGAAAGUUAUGUUCCUAAAGUUCAGGAGCAAAUUAUAGUAAGCGAAGUGGCAAAUGUGCCUUCUGUUGAAGAUUCUGCUCCGG
rnacentral:misc_RNA from 1 species